rnacentral:rRNA from 1 species
GACGAACGCUGGCGGCGCGCUUAACACAUGCAAGUCGAACGGAAAGGCCUGCUUUCCCUUGUGGAUUGCGGGUACUCGAGUGGCGAACGGGUGAGUAACACGUGAGUGAUCUGCCCCCAACUUGGGUAUAAGCCUGGGAAACUGGGUCUAAUUCCCGAUAGGACUGCAGGGUGGUGCCUGUGGUGGAAAACGAUUUUCUAGUGGUUGGGGAUGAGCUCGCGGCCUAUCAGCUUGUUGGUGGGGUAAUGGCCUACCAAGGCGGCGACGGGUAGCCGGCCUGAGAGGGUGGACGGCCACAGUGGGACUGAGAUACGGCCCAGACUCCUACGGGAGGCAGCAGUGGGGAAUAUGGCACAAUGGGCGGAAGCCUGAUGCAGCGACGCCGCGUGGGGGAUGACGGCCUUCGGGUUGUAAACUCCUUUCGACCGCGAGGAAGCCACCUGGUUGGAAGGGUGGUGACGGUAGUGGUAGAAGAAGCACCGGCUAACUACGUG